UUUUCUCUCUCCUCUUUUCCUUCAUCUUCAUCUUCGUAGUCUUCUUGCUCUUUGGAAAACUAUGAGAAGUGCUUCUUUUGUUCAAAAUUCAAAAAAUUCUGAGAAGAACAAGAAAUAUUUAUGAAGUAAAGUGUUUUUUUUUGCCUAAAAUUCAAAAAAGUUUUAGAAGAACAAGAAGUAGAGGAGAGUCGAAAUGGUGGGGGGCGAAGAAGAACAAGAAGUGAAUUUUUCAUGUGUUGAAUUGCUGGAAUUUGAGAAACGAAUUAAUUUUUUCUUCUUUCUUUUGUAUUUUUUACUUGUUGGAUAUGUUGAAAAUUGAUGUUUUAGUUGUCGGAGUUUAAGAAAAUAGC
rnacentral:lncRNA from 1 species